rnacentral:lncRNA from 1 species
GGAGAUAUUGUGGGACAUGCUUGUCUUUGGGCGUACCUUACUUUAGGUAGUCUGUUGAGGAUUUUUAAUACAUUCGAAUAUUGUUUCACGCUGAACUGUUGAUUCGCAAAUAAGACAUAAUGCUCUACCAAAUCCUAUUUCGCUAUAUUCUCAAAGGGAAUAAGGUGUCUUCGUUGAUUAUGGAUUUAUUAUUCGUUGGUUGAAGUAGCUUAUGCAGUACAGUGACUGUAUUGUUGUUAAUAAUGAAAAUGUUGACUCAACAACGUUGCACAGCUGUAUUGUAUGACGCAACAUAUGAGAAAAUUGUAACAAUCGAGAAGGUUUUAUUUCGAAGUUUGAAGGUUUCGGUUCUUAUGCGCCGAAAGAUCCUCAUCCAUCGCGUUGUUGUGAUCCGAUUGGAAGCAUGCAGAGUCAAGCUAGUCCUUUUACCAAAAGGAUAAACUCGACAAAGCGGAGGCUGAAACCACCUGUUCGAAAGUGAUUAAACACCUCCGUGGAAAUCAAAGUUUACAGGAUGAGGUGGCUCCAGCUGAUACUGUUACGCAUUUUGAAUAUGAACAUUGGCAUUCACUGUCAUCAGUUCGCCGUCAUUCCGAAUAUUACUCACCGUGAAGACUGGGAGUCGAAUAUGUGAACAGUAUUUCAGGAUCAACUGGAUAUGCCACCAAGGGGAUCAAGGGCGCUUCUUCUUAACACGACCUUCGAUGCUGAACUUUUUUCGCCUCGGGUUAGAAAGAUAUUGAGCAACUGAGAUUUCCUUAUUUUCUGGAACUCCUUUGGCCCAAUUGUUGGCUGUUCAGGCGCGUAUGGUGCCUUUCUCAAUUCGUUCCAAGUUACUCACUUCAAGAACGAUGAAAAAACCGUGGCUAUCCCGGCUCUCUUAUCCAGCCGUGUGCGGAACAUCAGCGCAGUGAUUUGUGUUACCAUUCUCGACAAGACAAAAGUCUUCAGCUUACUGUGUGACGGCUUAGUAGAGAGCCAUGGUAACAGUCAGUCGGUCACCCGCCGGUCCAGGGAUAACACGUAUAAGUUUGGUAACGCAACAUUGUCUGAUUUCAUGUAUAUCGUCGUGUAUCCCUUCGAACGAGUAUAUUUUACGUUUACCAUAAAAGCGACGAACCCUGAAGGGAAGAAUCAAGUAUAAAGGAACCCGGGGCCGACUCAACACUGUACUACGAUAAAUAAAGAAAGAUAAGUUCCUAAGUAUUUAUUUUAUGUAACAUACGGAUCUGUUACAACUGAUAGAGAUAAAAUGGAUCUUCUUCGCUAGCGUUAUAUUUUUAGGAUAAUCAAAAAAAGAUUGCCGGCUGAGCGUCUACUCGUUAUCACUCAUCCUCACUAUUCGAAUCACAUUCCAGGCCCGUCUUCCUAGGUUACUCAGGUAUCGGGAUUGAACACUGCGUCGAAAUGACUUACCAAAUACCAAAAGCGAUCGCCAUUGAGAUUUUUGUUACGUCAGAACAGCUCUACGAUGUAUCAAUAACACUUUUCACCCGCAGGCUAAUUGGAGC